AGACUCCCGCCUAGAGCUCAGAACCAAGCCACAAAGGUUCUUGGAGCCCUCCUGGGCCCCCGCGUGGGUCAGCAGGUGCUCUGCCCGGGCUCCAGCCGCACACGCAGGCGUAUGCUGCCCUCUGGUGGUGUCGCAUUGAAACGGCCGCGCUGAUGCUGAUGCGGAGUCUGGGCUGCGUGUCCCCUAAGGACGGCGUCCCUGCUGUCUCAGAAGAGAUGCCCCGGUUUUAUAAGAAAUACUCUUUAAUAUCUCCGUAAUGACGUCCAUAGAGAAUUAUCACCUGCUCAUGCUCCAAAUUUCAAAAAGCAGGUGCCUAGCUGGAUUUGGCCCACAGAACGCAGUUUACUGACCCUUGGUCUGGGGCAGCCCCUUCAGUUUACAGGGUGGGCCUACGGCGGACAUUCAGCACCCAGGCCAGAGGACAGAGCCCGAUGGGGCCAGGCCCUCCAGUCUCAGCACCAGGGACCCCUGGACCUCUGGGAUCUGCUUGCUCCUGGGCCUGGAUGUGAGACCAGUGCCUCCCAGACCUGCGGUUCGGGGCCAGUUUUGUUUCUUUUUUUCAGUUCAUCAUGGGCUGAUAGUUCUGUAAAAUACAGUAAAUAUGGAAGUGGGGAAAUGGAGACGAAGAGACGUGUAACAAACAUUAUUAGAUUCAACGGUUAUACGCUUGCUCUGCCGAAUGGCUGUGAAGGCUGACAAACUCUCAGCCCCACUCCCCGCAUCAUGGUGGACGGAGGCAGCCUGCGCCCCCGAGGCUGACGUGAGCCUGGGUCAAGCCUGCCUCAGUGUUAGCUCCAGGGUCAGCCCAGCUGGCUCUGGGGGACCCUGGGGCCUGGGGCUUGCCACCUGGGGCUCAGGAGGCUCCCAGGAACCCAGGGCCUCGUGUCCAGGACAACACUUCAUGCUGCGGCCAUCCUCGACAUCAUAGUUGCUGGCUCUGCUCUUCCCCUGCUGUGAAGUGUGUCCUCGGGAGUGGCCGUGAGACAUCACUAAGCUCCCAGCCCGGGGUCACAGGGACGUCGGCCCUGCUGGAGCUCCCAGGACAUACUACAUGAGCACUACUACGGUGAGCAGGGACCCAGGCUCAGGGUGGAGGAGACUCCUGCCAGAUGGAGGCUCAUCAAGGACAGGGACCUCAUCAUGGGGGCCAGGAGGCCCGAAGAUCCCAGCGUCCUGGCUCUUCACACCCUCCUGGUCUCAGGGGCCUGGACAAACCCUGGGGCCCAUUUCCUGGGAAGAGAGGAGGCUGCAGGGGACCAGGAAGCACGGAGAUGGGUCCUGCAGGGGCUGGGACUGGCUGAUGUAGGGAGGCUCCUUGGGGUCACGGGGUGGGCUCCUUCCGCGAGCCUCGGAGCCUCCUAGAAAUAAUAACCGGUGUCCACAGGCCUGGGGGUACUUGUCUGGACCCUAGAUUUAGAUGCUGUGAUAAGUCUGGAGGCUGAGGGGACUCAGCUCUGUGUCCUAUCACUGACAGAGCCUCUCAGAGAGAGAGAGAGAGAGAGAGCACACACAAGGGUCUGUGGUAGCAGAAUCCUAAGAGCACGUCUCUGUGGCUCUCUGAGGAUCCCAGGGUGAAGCCAGGCUAGGUUCAUGCAGACUGGGAGUAUCCCAGGGUUCAGAGCCGGGGCAACCUAGAAUAACAAAGGGAGGCCAGACCGAGGUCCAGGACCCCGUGCUCAACAAAGAGAAGGGAGGGUCCUCCUAUGACCCUUCCAGCUGCUGGUGGCCCCGGGGGUCCCUUGGCUGUGGCCACAUCACUCCAGUCCCUGUCUUGUUUCCACAUGGCUCCCUUCUCCCUGUAUGUCUGUGUUUUCAUGACAAGUCUCCUCUGUGUGUGUCUGUGUGUCCAGAUUUCUCUCUGCUUAUAAGGACACCAGUCAUGUUGGGUUAAAGGCCCACCCUGCUCCAGUCUGACCUCAUCUUAACCGAUUACACCUGCAAUGACCCUAUUUCCAAAUAAGGCCACAUUCACGGGUACCCGGGUUAGGACUUCAGCAUAUCUUUCUGGGGGUCACAAUUCAACCUGUAACAGGGAGGGUCUCACCUAGAUCGCCCUCGUUGAAGUGUGGCUGGGUUCUACGGCCACUACAUCAUCCACUAAACCCCGUGGCCUGAGAUGUACCAGUUAAUUUGUGUGUCUGUUCCUGGAUAUAAAAAGCAUCUAAAAAAAACCAAAAAAACCCUGCUAUUUUUCACUAUUAUGGGCCAACUUUCAGUAAGAAACAACUCAGCAUCAGUUAAUAAAUAAUUUGAUGCUGAA